UGACAUAAUUUAACUUGCAUAUACUAUGUAAAUAUAUUAAAAUAACUUAGGAGCCUUUGAGUGACUCAAUUCUGAUUAAAUUCUAUUUUUAUACAACAUCACAAACUUUAAUUGAUUUUUACAUGUCCACUUAUCACUAGUGUAAACUGUGGGGGAGGUGAUAGUGUCCUUUAUCUAAAAAAAAAAAAAAAGUAAAUAGUAGGACAUGUGUCUUGUAUAGACUGUUUUCUUGGCUGUGUAAUAUAUAAGAAACUGGUUAAGCAAAAUUUUAAAAGAUACCAGGGCACUUUAAUGUAUAUAUUAGAUAUCUAAAAGCCUAUGGCAAAU
rnacentral:lncRNA from 1 species